CCCACCUCCCGAGCUGCGGUACCGGGUUCCGCCCCGGCCCGCGCCCUCUAGCUGGCGCCACCCAAGCGGCAAGGGACGUCGCGGCCCUCCCGGGAUUGGUGGGAGGAUCGUGGGGGAGCGGCAGCUCAGGACGGAAUACGGCAAUGACCGCCCCGGUCGCGAGGGUGACCCUGCCCCGGGCUGCUGUGGGGGCGCAAGAACCCUUUCACUUUACGGCGAGAUUAAGCUCAGGGUCAAGUUCUGAGCAAAAAGUGUCAAGGAGCCUUUUUGCAACCUCCUAUAAUAUUGAAACAGAUUCUGUGCCCUUUAAAGGAGAUAAUAACUAACAUCUGGGGAGCGCUUUACAAUUUAGAAAAGGCCUUUCACACACAGGCCUGUUUCAUCUUCACAACAAUCUUAUAAAACAGAUAUAUUGUUCCCAUUUCCCAAAUAAUGAAACGGAAGCGCCGAAAAUAUCUCCUAUAGGGCUCUUCAAACUGUGGUCAACUUAGUAAAUGAUGUUGACAGUGGAAGUGUGAUCAUUUUAUUUUCCUGCCUUUGGAAUUGAAGAUUGUAAUUUUGCAAAAAUUUUGUUGAAGAUGAUGUAGCUUUGGUUCAGAGAGCUGGAGUGCAAUGGUGCGAUCUCAGAUCACUACAACCUCUGCAGCUCUGGUUCAAAGUCAUUCUCCUGCCUCAGCCUCCCAAGUAGCUGGGAUUACAGGUGCCUGCCACCACCACAUGUGGCUAAUAUUUUGUAUUUUUAGUAGAGACAGGGUUUCACCACAUUGGCCAGGCUGGUCUCAAACUCCCGACCUCAGGUGAUCCACCCGCCUUGGCCUCCCAAAGUGCUGGGCUUACAGGCAUGAGCCACUGCACCCAGCAGGAAAAAUUUAAUAUAAAGGUUACUAACUAAUAAAACAUGGUUAACUAUUAAGACAGAUAAAGGAUAACUCUAAAGAAUACCAGAACCUGGGCACAAGGGCUCAUGCCUGUAAUUCCAGCACUUUAGGAGGCCAAGGUAGGAGGAUCACUUGAGCCCAGGUGUUCAAGAACAGCUUAGGCAACAUAGUGAGACCCCAUCUCUACAAAAAAUUAAAAAACAGCCAGGCAUAGUGGUACAUACCUGUAGUCUCAGCUCCUCAGGAGGCUGAGGUUAGAGGAUAGUUUGAACCUAGGAGGUUGAGGCUGCAGUGAAUCAUGAUUGUAUCACUGCACUCCAGCUUGGGUAACAGAGUGAGACCGUUUCUAAAAAUUAAAAAAAAAAAAAAAAGGCAGCUGGAUGCAGUGGCUAGCACCUGUAAUCCCAGCUACUUGGGAGGCUGAGGCAGGAGGAUCACUUGAGGUCAGGAGUUGGAGACCAUCCUGGGCAACUUAGCAAGAUCCCUAUCUCUUAAAAAAAAAAAAAAAAGGAAGAAGAAGAAAAAGCAAAUGUAAACAGCAUGACUACCUCUAAGGCUGAGGGAGAACAUCCAAGGGAGUAACAGACUUGGAAGAGAUCUCAACCCUGAGGCUAAAAUUCAGACCCCCUUGGAGAGGACGGGGCUGUAGCUAGAUGGCAGAGAAAUUAUAUGUGUAAAUGACAGAGGAAUUCACUGGAGUGCUGCAGAUAGAGGUGGUGGUGCAGCUGCAGGUGGGGAUGGUGAGCUGGAAGCCAUCUACUGGGGUGAGGUGGAAGCUUAUUGGAGAGUGAGUGCCAAUGGAACUCCAUAGGUGACACCAUAAGAACAAAAUCUACAACAAGGAGAUCUAGGAAGGGCAGCUACUGCCUCUCUGCUAUGCCUGCAGUGUCUCUCUAGUGCCCUCUGCUGAUAAGCCUAACAUUGCACCAGCUGGCAAAUGAGAAAUGUUCAUGGGAUCCAGAUCCAGAUCAGUUAACUCCAAACAAGAAAAAGAAAGAUUGCUUUGGACUAAGGAGCAAUAAAUUGAUAACUGGCACAGUGUUACCCUCCCUUUUUUGUUUUUGUUUUUCCAUUCACGGCUAUACUGUCAAUAUCCAUUCAUGCUCUAUAUGUAUGAUUAUUGGACAUUCUAUUUUUAUACACUCCCUGGUUUUCUUUUCCUUUCAUUGUUUUGGGGCUAUUUUAUAGCUCUGAAAGUUGUAGAAAACUAAUAACAAUGUAAAAGAUUUUUAGUUCAUAGAAAUGAAAAUUAUUUGUGUCUGGUGGAAUAUAGUAGAUUAACCACCCUGUGGUUAGACCAUUUUCCAUCUUUUAAAUAAAUGCAUUCUAGCAUUCCUUGUUGCCUAUUUAUGUGUGUUUUUUUGAAUUA
rnacentral:lncRNA from 1 species